rnacentral:rRNA from 1 species
AGUGAACGCUGGCGGUAGGCCUAACACAUGCAAGUCGAACGGCAGCACAGUAAGAGCUUGCUCUUACGGGUGGCGAGUGGCGGACGGGUGAGGGAUACAUCGGAAUCUAAUUUUUCGGGUGGGAUAACGUAGGGAAACUUACGCUAAUACCGCAUACCACCUACUAGUUAAUGCAGGGGAUCUUCAGACCUAGCUCGAAUUAAUUAGCCGAUGUCGGAUUAGCUAGUUGGCGGGGUACAGGCCCACCAAGGCGACGAUCCGUAGCUGGUCUGAGAGGAUGAUCAGCCACACUGGAACUGAGACACGGUCCAGACUCCUACGGGAGGCAGCAGUGGGGAAUAUUGGACAAUGGGCGCAAGCCUGAUCCAGCCAGCCCGCGUGGGUGAAGAAGGCCUUCGGGUUGUAAAGCCCUUUUGUUGGGAAAGAAAAGCAGCAGGUUAAUACCCCGCUGUUCUGACGGUACCCAAAGAAUAAGCACCGGCUAACCUCGUG